CAGCAGUGAGACCACAAGGAGUGGGGCACUGUGGCACCCACUUUUAGAAACCAAGGAAUACGCAACUUUGAACACAGACAACUCUGAUCUGGGGCACAGAUCUGGAGGAACCCUUGCCUCCCUGACAAUAGGCACUGUACCAGAGAAAGGCCUAAGCAGCAGCAGAACACUAAGGAUAAGGAGUGAAAUGCUGAUCCUGCAUCUACACUUCCUGCUUCUAACCCAGCUCAAUCACUAUUGCCACCUAAAAGCACUGUGAUCAUCUCAUCUUGUCAUUCAGCUCCUGAUAAAUAUGGCAUCAAUAUUGCUGAUAUCAACUCAAAAAUAGCUGGCACUGAGUCAGGAUCAACAGAGGUCACAAACUGAAUUAAUUUUGGAAAGUAUAUACUCAUUUAAAAUUUGCAUCUCACUGGCAUCCAUAGUCUCUGUUCCAGAGUAAUAAGAAUAUCCCCGUAUUGAAUACCAUAAAUUAAAAAUGCUGUAGGUUAUUUCUUUCAUGCAGUUUAUGUCAGAAAGAAGCAGCAGUGCUCUGACAUCCAGCCUCGCAAUUCUCAUGCUGAAGAAAUAAAAACAUUAGGACAAUUCCUCUUCAAACUGCUUGGUAAAGAUAGAGUCAGCUUAAAAGCACCAUCAGAGACUGAACUCCUAGAAUAAUAGAAUGGCUCCUAGAAUAAUAGAAUGGCCUUAAGAUCAGGGGGCUCCAACCCCCAUGCCAUGGGCAGGAAUGUCAGGCACCAGAUCAGAGUGGUCAGGGCAGCUGGCCUUGAACACUUCCAGGGAUGGGGCAUCCACACCCUCUCAGGACAACCUGUUCUCAUCUCUUGCUUAACUUAAGAUGACAAACUAGACCACAAAUAGUCUUCAUCCUGUUUUGAAGAGCAGGACACAACUUGCCAGCUUGCCAAAGAUCACCAGGAGUGUGUUUUAGGAUUCCAGAAAUAGUUAUUCAGAGAGAAUGCAUGCACAUUUAUCUAAGAAUUCACCAGCUGAACUGGUGAAACAAGGAACUUGGGGAUAAAAUAUUACUGAGAUGGAAUGAAAGUUACAUAUGGUUCCUAUUGCUGAUAUUCCUACAGAGUAAGGUGCUGACUGCAAUUUAAAUUUUGAUUUUGCACUAUUAUGAAAUAUAAGGUUAUAUAUUUCGAUUUCAUUUCACUAAGGUUCAGACCACAUUUCACAGAUUUUGUGCAACAAAACUGUUUGUAACCAUCCACCUCUGCACAUUCCUGAAGAGGUCUUGGUGUCCUCCAUUCUUUCAUUCCAGUAAACACUGGUGUGUAAAAUAAGUGUCACAAGAGACUGCUCAAAUGGAGGGUUACAGAAAUUGUUACAGUUCUGAAGUGAAUCAUCCAGAUUAACAGAUGAAAAGCAUUAAAGCAAUUGCAUCUCCUCCUUUCUGGCAUGUUUGAGUCUGGCUGAGGCAGUCCAGGAUGAAGGUCAGAGUCUUCUCCAAAACCUGGUAGAGUUCCAACUCCUGCUACUGAAUCUGAGGUUUGUUAAGAGAUUAAUCAGCACUGUGGGCGUUGCUGUUCUAAGAGUGCCAGAGGCAAAGAGAUUGGGAAAUGGGAGGGUGGAACAAGAGAUAAACAAAAUGGGAAUGAAUUAAAAUGAAAAGUGGAGCAGAGAAGCAAGAGAGACAGCAGGGACUGGGUAGCAGCUCAGUGAGCAGAACUUGAAGAAAGACAGACGGACUGCUCUAGUGCAGCUCAGUGAGCAGAACUUGAAGAAAGACAGACGGACUGCUCUAGUGCAGCUGGAAGCAGGAGGCAUCACGAAAGUAAUAAAAGCUGCUCUUUUUAUUCCUUUUUGAAUGUGAUACUCCAGUUGGAAGCUGUGACAUUCACCAGCUCAGAAAAAUCAGGCUUGGAGCUGAGCUUUUUGCUCUUGUUUGGGUUUCUAAACAUGAAACUAGUUUCAUCGUUGACCUGUAAAAGACUGCAUGAAAGGAAAGGUUGGGAUCAGCCCUAAAGCUGAGCAUAAGGUUCAGUAAAAAAACCUGCAACAAUUACCAUGAUGGCAAAGGGACAAACACAACAAUACACAGAACAGACGACUCUUUUACUGUGGAAACAGACGUGUUGUAAUCAACCUGAGCUGGCACAUCCAGAUGAUGAAGUCAAGUCCCAAGGACUCACAGAAUCACAGAAUAUGCUGUGAAGGGACCCACAAGAAUUAGCAAGUCCAACUCCUAGCCCUACACAGGAUGCCCCAAGAGUCACACUAUGUGCCUGACAGCAUUGUCCAAAUGCUCCUUGAAUUCUGUCAGGCUGGUGUUGUGACCACCUCUCUCGGGAGUCUAUUCCAGUGCCCAAGCACUCUCUAGGUGAAGAACCUUUUCAUAAUAUCCAACCUAAACCUCCCCAGACACAACUUCAGGCCAUUCCAGAAGCAGUCCUGCUACCUAACGCAACAACAAUUACUCUAAGGAGAAGAAGCAGAGUCCUGUGCAGUGGCUUUCUCUGCCUUUCUUUCCAUCUUCCUGAAAAUCAUGUACCAGACCUCUUCAAAGUACUUCACAGAUAUCUGCAAAUCAGCAGAUAAAAGGAUGAAAACCACUACACUCAUCACUCACAAAGCUUGAAGACUGUCCAUCUGCAAUUCCACCCAUCCAAGCUCAUCGGAGACAGUGUAAACACUGAAUGUCUGCUGGAAAGGAUUCCUUACCCAUCCCACAGGAAACAAGUAUUUGGGUUACAUUAAAUAUUCAAUAUAUGAGCUGCUGGCAAGGCAUCAGAAAAUCAAUAGCUUCAUACAUUUAUAACUGAGCAUUUACCACAUGAAAGGCUGAAUCCCAAGACAGAAACUGCUCUAAUUAGGAAGCCUCAUCUAGGAAGAAUGAUCUUAUCUGGAUUUUAAACAUCAGCCUGUCUCUCCUUCUAGUAGCGUGAACAUCAGUAAGAGUGAGCGUGCUAAGCACUCUUUUGCAUAGUCUCCAUAGAGUGUUCUGAAAAUGCUCUUCCCACUUCCUUCUCACCCUCAACAGAGGAUGCUGAAAUGAUUUAAUCUUGCCCCCUUUGAUAGCACACUGAUCUCCAACUUUUGUUGGAUGGGGCCUUGAGCAACCUGAUCUACUAGGUGGCAUCCUUGCUUGUGGUGGGGAGUUGAACGAGAUGAUCUUUAAGGUCCCUUCCAACCCAAACCAUUCUAUUGUCCUAUGAUUUGCCAGACUUCAAAGAAAAUAACCCAUGGCCAUAAUGUUUGUUUUGUUUAAGCCCAAGUUUAUUUCAUGUUUUGCUUAGCUAGAUAUUCUUCAGCAGCCUGCUUGUCCCAUUGCCCUCGGGAGCUGCUGGGGCAGCCGGGUAUUAACCAGCAAGCCACAGCCUCGGCUCUGCCGUGCACCAAGGGUGGCUUUUACGUAACCUGCUCUUCCAUAUCUGGGGCACCUUCACGCUGAGGGAGCAGGCAACACACACGGGCUGGAGAGAAACAGCUGGGCGUGGACCAGAUUUGAAUAAGGAGUAUUUUGGGAUUCUGCAACCCCUCACCUGGCCAUCUCAAUGAAGUCAACAGAAGCUUUGCCCUUGCAAAGGACAGAAAGAUGGAACAAAGUAGCCAUUAAGGAAUUUACCACCUAUUUAAAAGCAGCAUAGUAUUUUGCUUUCUGCUUCCUGUGCAGCUCAUCUCAGAGGGGUGUAUUUGGUCACAGGUCACCAUCUUUCCUCUUACUAAAAGUAAAGAAUGGGGAAGAAGGAAAACCAUCACAUUCUACUUGGAACUGAAAAUCAAAAUCAAGGGAAAACAGCAUAAAUGACACCUGAGCUGUGGUAGUGAAAGUCUCUUAACCCUGUCUAAUAUAAUGCUGAUUUAGAAAGGAAAACAGAGGCCAAAUGAACACAGAAAUAAAAACUACAACUCCUGCUUGUUUAUACACAGGCUGACAAAUGCUGCUGAAGACAGUGGGGAUUCAUUCAAUCUGCCAGGCACACCAGGGAACAUUAAUUCAUGUCAGCAGCUCUCUGCACCAUCCUGUGGUGCUAUAUCCCAGGACUGGCAUACUGCCGCAGCAGGGCUGCCUCUUCCCAACUCCAGGCAAAAAAAGCAAAAGCAGAACCAACAACUACAACCACCACCUAACUCCUGCACUUGGUUGCUUUUACUAUUGUAGACUGUAAAGAACAUCACCUGCUCUUACUGCAAAAGGAUUAUAAUUCUGCCCAUGAGCACAGCUGGAAAGGAUAAGGGUGCCCAGACUGAGCAGAAUCACAGCAGUGCUCAGCAAGUGUUACACACUUUGAAUUCAGCUAUGAUUUUCCUACACAAUGCCCUCUCAAGCACCUGCAGGUGCACAGCAGCACAAGAUUUGCUUCCUGACAGCUGUGAUCAUUUGACUAAAUUUCAUUCCCUUUCCUAUGAAGCUAUUCUCUGACAACAUAUGUGGCCAAGAUCAAACUACUUGGUUCCUCUCAAAGUCAGAGAUCCUUACUCUUACUCUUUAUCUGGGUGCCAUUAAUGCCAAGGACAGCCACAGCCUCUGGCUCAGCUGCUUGCUAACACGUGCAAGGGCAGCGUCACAGCCCUGCAACUUCCUUCCCCUUCCUAUUACACCCACUCUUGCUUUCUGGACUCUUAUCUCAAACAUAUAUCACGUUCCUUCACUCAGCAGGUCAUUCCCACACCUCUGCAGGUGAUUUUGGGUGUCCUGUUUCUCCUGCCCUUGGCCCUUCCUGCCAGGCCACUCCCACAAAACCCCUUCAGUCCUGUCCCAAAAACCACCUGAAGUACGUUUGCCCAAGUCUGGGGAGUUACAUGCCCCACUCCUGCCACCUCCAAGGCAGUGGCUGCCAACAAACAGAAAAUUGUGGUGGUGCAGAGAGAAGCAAAGGCAAAACCCUAAAGCAUUAAACAGAUUAUCCUGACACACAAUCUCCUCGAACAGGGGAGGGAUACAAAAUUCCUGACAUUCUCAGCUGGCAAAGAGCAAAUGGGAAAAAUGUUAUGCAUGAAAGCCACUUUCAGAUACCAUUUAGCAUUUUAAAACCUUGAGUAGUUUUCCUUACAUGAUUAAAGGCUGAAAUUCCAGCUCUCAGGAUUUGCAAGCUGAGUAAAUCAGGAAAGAUCUGUCUCUGAUCUACAGGUAUUUUUUGCUAGUUAAACUGAAGAUUAAAUACACGUCUAUAUAUAUAAAAGAGUGAGCAUUUUUUUCCCAAUGCCUAAGAAUUCUUCAACUGAAGAAGGAAAAAUCUCAACAUUUUAGGUUAACCUUUUAAAGGUAUUUUAAAUAGGCAGAAAACAACACACAGCAACAUCACAGAAGUGACUUGUGCUUAGCCAUUCUGAAUUUACAGUCAUUUAAUGAAGGAUGCAAAAGACAAGACACCAAAACCAUGACUCAACACCAAGCUACAAGUGCUGCAAGUUUGCUGAAAAAAAACACAUUUAAAUGCAUCCCUUAAAUGAUUUACUGUGCUUUAUGCUCACUCUGAAAGUAGUAAAAAUAUUUGCUUGCUAGCUCUAAUGCCACUUGUGCUCUCACACACUGCCAAAUCACCUGUCCACAUCUGCAGCUUGCAAGAGGUCCUCACACCACACACAAUGAACCACCCCCACUCUGACUGAGCUGUGGGAAACCAUCAAAGCCACAUUUAUGACACCACAGAGCAAAAUUCAGGCUGUGUUUUGCCUGCAGAAAUAAUUCAAGUCAUUGAUAGAUGGUGUUGUGCCACUGUCUCUGGAUCACCAGGACAACUACUGCCACUCAGAAAAGAGGCAGCUAUAAAGAGCUGUGGACAUAUCAUCAGUCAGUCUCUUCCUGAAAAUGGAGAAGGUUAAAAAACAAAAAAAUAAAAAGUUCACAACUCAGGAUAAUUCCUAUUGAGCUUUAAACUGGGCCCAAGUAAUUGAGGCCUCUUCUAUUAAACAAAAUUAAAAGUCCCAGAGUUCAACACAGUAAAUUUUAAAAGGACAGAGAUAAAUUUUCCUGCCCUAGAAACACGGCCCUCAGACUCCCUGUUUGCUACAAUAUUCCUCAGCUAGCAAAAUAGAAAGCUGGCAGCCACCCAAGGUAUUCAAACAAAACAUUGUAAUUAAAAGCUACUUAGGGCACCAUGAACCAAAAUAUAUGCUAAUAAAAACAUCAUUAACUAA